AAUCAACGCUGGCGGCGUGCCUCAGACAUGCAAGUCGAACGCGAAAGUCCCCUUCGGGGGCGAAGUAGAGUGGCGCACGGGUGAGUAACACGUAGGUAAUCUACCUUCGGGUGGGGAAUAACAACCGGAAACGGGUUGCUAAUACCGCAUAAUGCAGCGGCACCUAAUGGUGACAAGUUGUUAAAGCGGGGGAGUCGCAAGAUCUCGCGCCUGAAGAGGAGCCUGCGGCGGAUAGCUAGUUGGUAGGGUAACGGCCGUACCAAGGCGACGAUCCGUAGCCGGCCUGAGAGGGCGGUCGGCCACACU
rnacentral:rRNA from 1 species